GACGAACGCUGGCGGCGUGCUUAACACAUGCAAGUCGAACGGAAAGGCCCUGCUUUUGUGGGGUGCUCGAGUGGCGAACGGGUGAGUAACACGUGAGUAACCUGCCCUUGACUUUGGGAUAACUUCAGGAAACUGGGGCUAAUACCGGAUAGGAGCUCCUGCUGCAUGGUGGGGGUUGGAAAGUUUCGGCGGUUGGGGAUGGACUCGCGGCUUAUCAGCUUGUUGGUGGGGUAGUGGCUUACCAAGGCUUUGACGGGUAGCCGGCCUGAGAGGGUGACCGGCCACAUUGCGACUGAGAUACGGCCCAGACUCAUACGGGAGGCAGCAGUGGGGAAUAUUGCACAAUGGGCGGAAGCCUGAUGCAGCAACGCCGCGUGCGGGAUGACGGCCUUCGGGUUGUAAACCGCUUUCGCCUGUGACGAAGCGUGAGUGACGGUAAUGGGUAAAGAAGCACCGGCUAACUACGUG
rnacentral:rRNA from 1 species